UCUUACGGCCAUAUCACGCUGAGAGCACCGGUUCUCGUCCGAUCACCGAAGUUAAGCAGCAUCAAGCCUGGUGAGUACUUGGGUGGGUGACCGUCUGGGAAACCUAGGUUCUAUAAACG
rnacentral:rRNA from 1 species